UGUCAACUCUAUUUCCACAGGGAGCAAACCACUACUAUCAGAAUGAUCACAGAACAUAUUUAGUCCACUGAUUAAAUGUGUAUUUUUUUUAACCUUUAUUUAAGAACAAAUUCUUAUUUUCAAUGACGGCCUAGGAACAGUGGGUUAACUGCCUGUUCAGGGGCAGAACGACAGAUUUGUACCUUGUCAGCUUGGGAUUUGAACUUGCAAACCUUUUGGUUACUUGUCCAACGCCCUAACCACUAGGCUACCCUGCCGCCCCAGAUGUCUCUAUAACCAUGUGAACUGCCAGAACAGCACCAGGCAGACCCUUCUAUCCAUGCAUAUGGUAUAAGGUUAGCUCAUGUAAUAGACCAUUUUUAAAAAAACUGAGUGGCUGCGGUUAUGGAUUUUCUGAAAUCUGACUUGCCUUGGCUAUUCAUAUGGAGAUUUCUGAUGCGCAGGAUUUUUCUGUUACGUAACUUCUGCUCAGUCUCCCACUGCUGCAUCUCCCUCAUUGACAGCAACACGGUGCAAAAGUAAUGCUCAUUUUCUCAUGUAACACCACAGAAGCUAGAAUGAUGCACAGUCAGGUCAGUGCAUUCCUAAUGUGGAGGACGACCUCCCUGCGAAACAACAGCCCAUUCCGACCAUGUUUCACCGAGUUAUCAACAAAAAAGGGGUUUUGAGCUAAAACAGACCUGAAGUGUUUUUCGGUUGUAGAAUUGUGUUCAGUUGUUUAAGGUUCCAAACAUGUCAUUUUCUUAUCCUAUCUAGUUACUAAAUGACAGCAUAGGUUUCAAGUAUCAUGCUAGCUAGUCUUGGGUGUUAGCCUGGGUGAAAUUACAGUAAAACAAUGUAAACAGAUGACCGGGAAUAAAAUAAAAUAAACAUUUAUGCACAGGCCAUUGUCUCCGCUAGUUCAUAUUGCUUUUAUAAUGUUAGCAAUGUAUCAACAAGUGACAAUGUUUGAAAAUGAUAUGACCUCAGUAGAAUUAUGCCUUAAUCAAUUGACUUGAUGGAUCAGCUUCUCACAUAAGCUUUUAAAUGCAGGUUAGUGGUUAAACAUAUAUUUAUAAUUCUGGAGGUCAAAUACCUUAUGUAAAGCCAAGGAAAUUUAAUAAGCAUGAUGAGUUUGCUGUUUGUGAAGAGAAUAAAGCCGUUUAUUUUCUUAAGACAAGAGGAGUGCGCGUGACAAGGACAGCUAGAGCGCACAUAAUUGGUCAACUAAGCAUGAAUAAUCAUUGAAAAAUGGUGAAAAACAUAUCCUACUACAUUCCAAUUAAAGUGAGAUAAGAACAUGAUGGUUAAUGUAGCUAUUAUGUGAUCCAUUUUAAUCUGAUUCAUAUUGUAAGGCAAAAUAUUGUGGUUGCGUAACAUUACAAUGUUGAUGCAUGGUUCAUUUUCAUACAUUUCGAACCUAUAGGAUUAAUUAUUCAAAUCGACACAAACAUGAAAUGAUGGCUUAUAGUACAUUUGUUGAAAGUAACAAGCAUUACAAACCAGAAACAUGGCGAUGAGACAAAUAUUGUGCACUUCUCGCCAGCUGUUACUUCCAUCCCAAGGCUGUGGUUAUUCCCGACCCACCGGCAGGUACAAAAGUAAUGUUGCGGUAGUUCUGUUCUCUGUCUAUUUAAUUUAAAUGUAUUUACCAUAGAAAUUAAAUUACAAUUCCUAAUGGUAGAGGCAAUAUAUAAUAUAUAUAAGUUGUUUGUCAUAAAAUAUUAUGUAUCUAGCUCUAUCGAUCUCUGAGUAAUUAGGAACAAAACUAAAAAAAAGUGUUACAUUUGUCCUGCUUCUCUACACUAACGAUAUGGUCGACAUAUUCGAACUAUAAAUUCUAUGCCUCAAGCACGAUUUCAUGUUAUUUUUUCAGGAGGGGUGUUAGACUACAUGCAGCUAUCAUGUUGUACACAAAAUACAUGAUCGACAUGUCCGUACCAACUUUGUUGUGUGUUGUAACAGUAUUGCAAACAUAAGCACAAAACAAAGGUAGUCUGUUUCAAGCAAGACAGAGACAGGCAGUCUCUCAAAUUCAUUGCAAACUUUGGCUAGGUCUUUUUUCCUCAACUCUCGCUAAAACAUGGCAGCAUAACUAUGAAGAUUAUCAUCACCAAUAGUAGGCAGUCUAAAGCAGUAGUUGACAAACGACAUAAGGGUGCCGGGUGAUGCAGACUUUGGUUACCUGUCGGGAUACACAUGCUCAGCUGCCUAUAACAUUCGGCUGCACAGAGGUGGAACAGCUUGGUAGCCUACUCUUCCAUACUUGCAUGAUCAUUGAGAAGCGAAAAAUCAGUUAGAUGGGAUGGUGUUGGUUAACAUAUGAGGAGACAUAGGCUACAUCAUCAUGGUUCAGAGGAGGAACCGCUCUGUCUCUGUCUCCUGUCUCCUGUUCCACAUCUCACCACCAACCACCCUGUUCUGGAUAUUUCUCACCACCAUUACCUUGGAUUUCCCCCAGGACCUAUUCCCCUGUUCCACGCUGCCAACUCCAACCUCACUCUACACUCCUGGUUAUUGCAACUCAUCUGAGCUGCCCUGGUUCUGCACUACCCAUUUGCUGUGUUCAAUAAAGCAACAGCCCUACUCUGCCUGCUCUCAUUGAUUCAGGCACCGACAAGAGUUUUCUGGACCGAGGGGUUGUUAAACAGUUGGGCCUGGACACUGUUUUGCUCGAUUCACCUUUGGAAGCCAACGCUCUCAAUGGAAAACUACUCUUCCGUGUUUUGGAGAAAACGGUUCCUGUUAUCCUGCGUCUCUCUGGUAAUCACCAGGAAAAGAACCGCUCUGUCUCCUGUUCCACAUCUCACCACCAACCACCUUGCUCUGGAUAUUACUCACCACCAUUACCUUGGAUUCCCCUGUUCCACGUUGCCAACUCCAACCUCACUCUACACUCCUGGUUAUUGCAACUCAUCUGAGCUGCCCCGCUUCUGCACUCCCCAUUUGCUGUGUUCAAUAAAC